CCUACGGAGGGCAGCAGUGAGGAAUAUUGGUCAAUGGGCGAGAGCCUGAACCAGCCAAGUCGCGUGAAGGAUGACGGCCCUACGGGUUGUAAACUUCUUUUGUCAGGGAGCAAUUGAGUCCACGUGUGGUCUUAGCGAGAGUACCUGCAGACAAAGCAUCGGCUAACUCCGUGCCAGCAGCCGCGGUAAUACGGAGGGUCCGGGCGUUAUCCGGAUUUAUUGGGUGUAAAGGGAGCGUAGGCCGGUCUUUAAGCGUGCCGUGAAAUUUUGUGGCUCAACCAGGGGAGUGCGGCGCGAACUGGAGACCUUGAGUGCGCGGAGGGCAGGCGGAAUUCGUGGUGUAGCGGUGAAAUGCUUAGAUAUCGCGAAGAACCCCGAUUGCGAAGGCAGCCUGCCGCAGAGUAACUGACGCUGAAGCUCGAAGGCGCGGGUAUCGAACAGGAUUAGAUACCCCUGUAGUC
rnacentral:rRNA from 1 species